UUUAAAUGCAAAUCUAUUUUAUAGAUGUGAGCUAAUCAAAUUUUUUAACUCAGUGAAUAGACAAAUAGAUACUUAAAAUCUUUUUUUUUUUUAAUUUUUCGUUUAUUUGCAUCUGUGGCACGCUGGUCAUCGUAACGUUAUUCUGCUCUUUGUUUAACACUCUCAUAUCAGGGCAAGGAGCUAUCGAGGAAAAUCAUUUAUGCUAAUGUUUCUCUGUCUUUCUUCCAUAGAAAUAACAUAUUGUUCUUCCUUCCUAAGUUUUAAGUUUUUCAUAUGUAAAUAAAGAUACAAUCUCAUUGAACGCACUCCUCGUAAAUAAAAUGAAUUCCUGACCUUAUUAUUCUGAAAUGUCUUCUAUCAACGAAAGAAAAUAUAAUGCCCCGUUAAUAAAGGCAAUAAAUAAGUUCAGCUAAGUAAAGAAAAAUAAUGAGAACAGGGCAAGGUAAAGACCUUCAUUGUCAGGCAUAAACAGGUGUUUUAUUUUAGGUCUAAUUUAUCUAUGGCGACAGGAUUUAUUGAUCUCAUCUAGAUUAUAAAAAUAGUUAAAUAUUGAAAGAAAAAAAUCCCAUAUAAACGGAAGCUACUGAAACUAACUUCGAACUUCGAUAAAACAACUUGCUGAGAAUAAUUCUGAAUAUGGACACCAUUAAAAAAAUUAUUGGCGCAAAGCUUACUGAAACCAAACCAAAAACCGAACAAGAAAAAAAGGAACAACCAAUGCUUGUCAACAUUAUGCUUGGAGGGAUCCCGUACAGAUUUGAAAAGAAACGAAUAACUCCAUUGAAAAUGUGGAGAUAUGCAGAUUGUGGCAGACCACUUUAUCCAGAGUCAGCUCUUGAAAAUAGACAACAGUAGAAGAUGUGCCAGAGAAAAAAAAACAUCGUUGUAACUUUUUUUUCAUCUUUUAUGAAAAUAAAAAUACACUGCAUAUUCCUGUAA